rnacentral:rRNA from 1 species
AGUGAACGCUGGCGGUAGGCCUAACACAUGCAAGUCGAACGGCAGCACAGUAAGAGCUUGCUCUUACAGGUGGCGAGUGGCGGACGGGUGAGGAAUACAUCGGAAUCUACUUUUUCGUGGGGGAUCACGUAGGUAAACUUACGCUAAUACCGCAUACGACCUACGGGUGAAAGCAGGGGAUCUUCGGACCUUGCGCGAUUGAAUGCGCCGAUGUCGGAUUAGCUAGUUGGCGGGGUAAAGGCCCACCAAGGCGACGAUCCGUAGCUGGUCUGAGAGGAUGAUCAGCGGCACUGGAACUGAGACACGGUCCAGACUCCUACGGGAGGCAGCAGUGGGGAAUAUUGGACAAUGGGCGCAAGCCUGAUCCAGCCAUACCGCGUGGGUGAAGAAGGCCUUCGGGUUGUAAAGCCCUUUUGUUGGGAAAGAAAAGCAGCAGGUUAAUACCCCGCUGUUCUGACGGUACCCAAAGAAUAAGCACCGGCUAACUUCGUG